rnacentral:rRNA from 1 species
GACGAACGCUGGCGGCGUGCUUAACACAUGCAAGUCCGGGGGCGGGGUAACCCGUCCCCGGCGAACGGGUGCGGAACACGUGAGCGACCUGCCCUGGUGUGGGGGAUAGCCGGCCCAACGGCCGGGUAAUACCGCAUACGGCGCCCGCUUGGAAGCGGGAGGCGAAACUCGCACGAUGCGCUAGGAGGGGCUCGCGGCCUAUCAGCGAGUUGGUGCGGUAACGGGGCACCAAGGCGAUGACGGGUAGCUGGCCGGAGAGGCUGGCCUGCCACAUUGGGACGGAGAGGCGGCCCAGGGGACUACGGGGGGGGGAAGUGGGGACUAUGGGGGAAUGGGCGACAGCCUGACGCCGCGUCGGCGCGGGGAGGAUGAGGACCUUAGAGGUGUAAACUCAUGUUGCACGGGACGAGUGCCCCGCAUCGGAGGGGUUGACGGUACCGGGUGAGGAAGCACCGGCUAACUCGGUG